UACGGGGGGGGCAAGCGUUGUUCGGAAUUACUGGGCGUAAAGGGCGCGUAGGCGGCUCGCUAAGUCGGAUGUGAAAACUCUGGGCUCAACCCAGAGCCUGCAUUCGAAACUGACGAGCUCGAGUUCUGGAGGGGAAAGCGGAAUUCCUGGUGUAGCGGUGAAAUGCGUAGAUAUCAGGAGGAACACCGGUGGCGAAGGCGGCAUCCUGGACCGGCAUUGACGCUGAGGAGCGAAAGCGUGGGGAGCGAACAGG
rnacentral:rRNA from 1 species